rnacentral:lncRNA from 1 species
UGCAUCCCCCCAGCAAGAGGGCAGACGCCUCAACUUGUUGCAACUAUUCAGAUUUAACUCCCGUAGAGAUGGAAGGUUCCCCAACCAUUCAGGCAAUUCUUCUACCCCUAAAUUCUCUAAUAUUAACCAAUGAAGAGUUGUGAGAUGUUGAAUUGAUUCUGGUAACCACUCCCAAUUUUCCACCCCUUUUAAGAACAAACGAGUAAGUGAGUUGCAGCAUGGUUGCAAUAAGGCAUCCACAGUCUGUUUAAUGCCAACACUACUCUCCAUUGACCACUCCCAACUCACAUCUAUCACUAACGACUGUAAGCAGCCUAAACCCCAACUCUUGACACUAUCAGUACACAUGAAGAAUUUAGGAACACCAACAAUUCUCAAAUCUCUGAGACUCACUGCUUUAGCGAGGCAGUCAAUUACCAUCGGCAGAUUCUGUAGGUUGCUUAAUCCCCACAAUUCCAGAGACUCGAUUGUUGGCGCCCAUGACUCUAGCAUUUGACGUGGCAAAACCAUCAACCCUUGGCACCUUUCAAUCACGAGUUCGCGUAGGAUUCCUUGUGAUUGUCCUUCUCUGCCACUUGGAUUCCCUAUUGACUUCACAUUUCCACAAUCACAUAUACUCAACUCCACCAGAGAAUUGAGGGUGUCCAGUCCAUCUGGUAAUUCUCUCAACCUGGGGCAUUUCCUUAUCUCCAACUCUGAUAGAUUCUGAUUCUUAUAGAAUAACCAAUCUGGCAGACAUUCCAAUCCCUCCAACUCUUCUAUUUUGAGGGACUUUAAUUUAGAAAAUGAAGAAUUUAUGAACCUCAGCUUCUCCAAUCCUAUCAAAGAAACAGAUCUGAGAUUUGGCAAGUGCUCCAGCUGUGGGAUUUCCUCACAUUCUGAGCACCUCUUGAGUGUUAUCUGAAUCAAGUUUUCAAGUGGUAGCCAAGAGGCUUGAGGCCCAUCCCGUACUGCCAUCUUCUCAAUCCAUUCUGGAAAUCUUUUGCCUUUGAAUCUGAUAAUCUCUAACUUCUUCAGAUUGGCAUUUGCAUGAGGUUGCAGGCCUUCCAACACACUCUCCUCAUCACUUCUUUCACCUCUCUGACAGAACCACAUGAAACAUCAAAUCAAAUAACUUCGGCAUCCCAAAAUAACCCCAUUGAAACCUCAAAUCAAAUAAGUUUGGCUUCUCAAAUAUCUUUGCUUUCUCUGCUUCCCUUCUUUGCCAUGCACCUUUUCCAAACUACUAAUCACUAGUUUUCCUUUGAGAUUCUUCAAACUUCCAAGCUCUUCAAUUCGAUAGCCCUUCUUGUCACCCACUCUAAAAAUAAAAGGUACACAGACAAGUUAAUCUCCCAAUUUCCGCAGGCAAAUCUAUACUGUCGUCGAUAUAAAGAUGCCUUAAGUUAAUCAAGUACUUUAACGUACUUGGCAGAAGAAACGGUCUAUUCCACCUCAACCUUCUCUCGGCUCUCUCGGCUCUUAAUGUUUUGCAAAUGAUGGAAUUCACUAAUCCAGUCUGGCAAAUUCUCAAUUGCUGUAUUUGAAAUAUCAAGAUUUCUCAAAUGUAUCAACUUCCUUACUGAAUUGGGCAACUCUUUAACUCCAUCACUCUUAAGAGUAAGAACAUGCAGACUUUCCAAGUUGGACAACAUGUUACCCGAAAUUUCUUCACCUUCCAAGAACAAUGUACGCAAAUGGUUUGGGGUAGGUUCUGAUCCAUCUUUGUUAUUAGAAUAACCCAAAACAGAAGAUGCCAGAUCAUGCACAAGAUCGUGCAUCACACAACUCUCCACAUUUCCAAUAUCAUCUCUCCCUGCAACUUGCAACAAAGAGUUUUGUAAAAGCAUAUUAAAGAACAUCUCGCCCACAGACUCCAUAUCAUCUCUUCGAUUUGGCUCAAGAAAACCUUCUGCCAUCCAUUGUUCGAUCAGCUUCUGCUUCACAAUCUUACCACCUUUUGGGAAAAUUGAACAGUAUGUGAAACACUUCUUGAGUGAUGGUGAAGACAAAUUAUCAAAGCUCAAUCUCAAAAUUUUCGAGAUGUUAUUCCCAUCAACAUCUGUAAGCCAUUUCUGUUCAACUUCGAGCCACUCUUCUUGAGAUUUACAGCGAAGCACUCCCCCGACCACAUUGGCAGCUAAGGGCAAACCUUUACAUCUUUUUGCAAUCUUUCUUCCAAUCAUCUCCAAGCCUGAUGGAACUUCUCCAUUUUCAUCAAAAGUUUUAACUUUGACAAUGGACCAGCAAUCUUCAUCUGAUAAGCCUUUUAACAUAUGAAUGUCAAAUGGCUUCACAAUUGAAGCAACCUUCUCAUUCCUGGUAGUGAUGAUGAUGCCAUUUCCUUUAGUAGAAGUUACUCCCGACAGAGAAUUUAUAAAGCCUUCCCAUGUCGGAACAUCUUGAUUCCAUAUAUCAUCAAGAACAAGAAGAUAAGUUUUAACUUUCAAAGCUUCUUGAAGCUUUUCAAGAAUAUCUUCUCUGGUCUCAACUCCAUCAGUAGUCUUUCUAGUUUCCAGGAUAUCAUCAUCUCUGCUCUCAACUCCAUCACUAGUGUUUUUAGCCAUCUUGAAAAGUAUUUUCUUGAAAAGAAGCAUUGGAUCAAAAUUUUGAGAAACAUGAACCCAAAGCCGUGAUCCGAAUCGAGUCUUCACCCUUUGAUGAUUGAAGAUUUUCCUGGUCAACGUAGUCUUCCCCAUACCUCCCAUUCCGACAAUUGCAAGGGUGGAGAAUCUCCGUUCCUNUGGGCUCUUAAUGUUUGCAAAUGAUGGAAUUCACUAAUCCAGUCCGGCAAAUUUUUAAUAUAUGUAUUUGAAAUAUCAAGAUUUCUCAAAUGUAUCAACUUCCUAACUGAAUUGGGCAACUCUUCAACUCCAUCACUCUUAAGAGUAAGAACAUGCAGACUUUCCAAGUUGGAGAACAUGUUACCCGGAAUUUCUCCACCUUCCAAGAACAAUGUACGCAAAUGUUUUGCCACUUGUUUUGGCACAGGCUUUGACCCUUGAAGAGUGAUGUAUCUGAUUUGGUUGCAGCCAUCUGCAUUAUUAGAAGAACCCAAAACAGAAGAUGCGAGAUCAUGCACAAGAUCGUGCAUCACACAACUCUCCACAUUUCCAAUAUCAUCUCUCUCUGCAACUUGCAACAAAGAGUUUUGUAGAAGCAUAUUAAAGAACAUGUCUCCCACAGACUCCAUAUCAUCUCUUCGAUUUGGCUGAAGAAAACCUUCUGCCAUCCAUUGUUCAAUCAGCUCCUGCUUCACAAUUCUGUCACCUUUUGGGAAAAUUGAACAGUAUGUGAAGCACUUCUUGAGUGACGGUGAAGACAAAUUAUCAAAGCUCAAUCUCAAAAUUUUCGAGAUGUUAUCUCCAUCAACAUCCGUAAGCCAUCUCUGUUCGACAUCGAGCCACUCUUUUUGAGAUUUACGGCGAAGCACUCCCCCGACAACAUUGGCAGCUAAGGGCAGACCUUUACAUCUUUCAGCAAUCUUUUUUCCAAUCAUCUCCAAUCCUGAUGGUACUUGAUCUCCAUUUUCAACAAAAGUUUUAGCUUUGAUUAUGGACCAGCAAUCUUCAUCUGAUAAGCCUGUUAACAUAUGAAUGUCAAGUGGCUCCACAAUUGAAGCAACCUUUUGACUCCUGGUAGUGAUGAUGAUGCCAUUUCCUUUAGUUGAAGUUAUUCCCGAAAUGGAAUUUAUAAAGCCUUCCCAUUUCGGAACAUCUUCGUUCCAUACAUCAUCAAGUACAAGAAGAUAAGUUUUAGACUUCAAGGCUUCUUGAAGCUUUUGCAGAAGAACUUCCCUACUUUCAACUCUCACACCAGUAUGUGAAGUCAAUGUUGAAAAGAUUUUGUUCAAAAUAAUGAUCGGAUCAAAGUUUGAGAAACAUGAACCCAAAUAUGUGAUCCAAAUCGAGUCUUCAUCUUUUCAUGAUUGAAGACUUUUCUAGUCAACGUAGUUUUCCCCAUACCUCCCAUUCCAACAAGAGCAAUGAUGGAGAAGAUCCGUUCCUCUGAGUGGGUGUGGGUGAGCAUCUCAACUAGUUUAGGCACAUCAUCAUCUCUUCCAAUAAAGAUUGGAUCAAGAGACAAUGAAUCAGUCUCAAAGGAAGCAUUCAGAGCAGCAGCAGCAGGUGCAUUCACAACUAUGCUUUGAAGGUCAAGAUCUGUUGCCCUCUUGUUCAUAGACUCGAAAGUGGCAUUGAUUUGUUUGAUUCUAAGAGCCAUGUUACGCCGAAAUGAGAUAUGAUUUAAGGAUGAGAAGCAUGAUAGUACCUUAUCCUUCGCUUUGGGAUUGGGUGUCUUCAAUUUCUUCACUUUUUUGUGGAGAAGAUGAUAGUUGAGUUCAUCCACAACAUUAUCAGCAUCGAAAGCCACAUCUUCAAGCUCCCUCAACCAGAUCUUGACAGCAUCUUGGGUGAUGGAUUUCUUCUCAGCGUCAUUCAAGUAGGCUUGAAUCAUCACCAAAGUCCUCUGCAGCUGUUGGGCAUCUUCAUCGAGACCUCGAAGUAGAGACCGCUCUUCCUUGAAGACGUUGAUGAGGUUUUGAACAAGAACUUCGAUGGCGGCAGCAGAUACACCUCCUCCAUCCAUGGUUUUGCAGAGAGAGAAUGCUUGUGAACUUUUUUUUGUAUGUGUGUGUGAAGAUGAAUGAUUGUAAAGUUGUGGAUGACCAUUCAAACAUUAUCACUCUUCAAUUAUGUACUCACUGGUCACUAUCUAUGUGGAAAAGGAAAAAGUCUUUAAUGAUCCAUCUCUACCUUGAAAAGGAUGUUUCAUUAUUCAUUUCCUACGAGCAUGUGCAGCGGGGCUCCACCGAGCGGCUCGAGCCUGAGCUCCCCCCGCCUAUUGCCGCGCUUGGGGGCUCAAAAGGGGCAUGAUGGGUAGAGCUUGCGAGCACCGCCCCACUCAGUCAGCUAUAUAUCUCAUUGCAAAUAGUGCAGCUCAGGUUUUACUUUUCUUCUUCAUUUACCAGUAGAAGGCUUAUAUGACCUUGUUUACUUUGUAGAUUAAAAAAGAUUGCUAUCUUGAACUUUUAUUUUUAUAGGUGAAUGAUUUUGUAAUGAAGAUAGAUAGCAGGGAUAUAGAAGUGUCAAAUGCCUUUACCAUGUGGAGAUAUCUUUGGUGUUGAUUGCACUAAUAUAUAUGGUUUUCUGAAUUUGUGAUGCAUUUUGUCUUAGUGGCUGUAACACAGAGAAUUAGGUUUAUUGGCCCACUAACAUCUCUCAAUCUCCCCCUCUCUGUGGGAUAAAUUUUAUUAUUAAGCUCUAAUUAUGUAAGAGAUCAAACUUCUCAUCAUUGUAAUUGAUAAAUUUUUUAAUGGACACAGGAUGUUUUUGGUGCAGUUCCUGGUGACAGACUAUAGAAUUUAUUAUUACCACACCUCAUAUGACACAGUGGAUAGACUAUUGUAUGCAUCAAUUGGUAUUAAUUUUGGUAGAGAUUACCGAAUUUAUUUUCCGUCACAUUACUUUUUUAUUUAUUUUUGUGUCUGCCUAAUUUGCACAUCUUUUUCUGUUGAUUAGACUAGGAAGCAUGCAAGCACGUCUGUUUUUCUAUCCUUGGGUUACUAUUCUCUGAACAUUCUUUUUUUGGGUUUAUUAGAGGUUUGCAAAUCCAUUUUUGGCAUUUCUAAUGUUUGUGCCAUUGCCAUGCUCAAUUGUUUCAAUUCUUUCCAUAUAGCAAGGAAACGAUGCACCAAAAAGGGUUGUUUUUCAGCAGACAAUAGGUACAUUUGGAUCAACCCAUAUUAAUUAUCAGUCGCACACUAAGUUGGUCGUGUGGUUAUUCAGUGGCAUCAAAGUGUUAUAUAUGUGCAUGUUGUAUAGCUCUCCGUUCAUCGCGUGAAAUGGCAGGUAAUUCAGUUAGGAGUUGUGAUAAAUUAAAUUCAUGAAAACUGCUUGCAAUAUUUGAAUGAUGCUAAUGUAGUAGUGGACUAUAGGUCUGGUCAUUCAAGUAGCUAUGAUUUUAUUCACAGAGGAAUGUUAGCAUACACACCAUCAUGUGCACCUCCAUCAACACCUAGACCUAGUGUAUUGGAUUGGAUCAUUAUUUCAAAAUGAAUAUACUCAUGCAUCUCCAGCUCCGGUUCCAGCGGUCGCUGGGUUGCUCCAGUUCCAGCGGUAGCUGGGCUCCAUCCGGCGCUGGAUUGCUGCCUUCCUAAUUUCUAUCAAGUCGAUGAAAAUCCAUGAAAAUUAAUAUAAAAAAAAAGUCACCGAAACUUUGCAUAAAAGAUUGAAAUGAAAUUCAUAUUAAUUUUCUAAAUUUUAUUUUACAUAAUUAAUUUUAAAUUCCACGAAUUAUAGCAAAAUUAAACUUUUAAGAAAAAAACAACCUCAACAAAGAAAGAAAAAUGAAACUUACUUGCUGCAAGGUUUAAUCUGGCGGCCGUCAACCCAGAUGGUGAGAUUGGGAGAGUUGUUGUGCCACUCUGGAUCAAUGUGUAACUCUCCACAAUCUUCGAUAUAUAAAACCUCCAAUGCAUCCCAGCAAGAGGGCAGAUGCCUCAACUUGUUGCAACUAUUUAGAGUUAAGCUCCGUAGGGAUGGAAGGUUCCCCAACCAUUCAGGCAAUUCUUCUACCCCUAAAUUAUGCAAGUUUAACACAUUAAGAGCUGUGAGAUGUUGAAUUGAUUCUGGUAACCACUCCCAAUUUUGCACCCCUCUUAAGGUGAAAUUAGUAAGUGAGUUGCAGCAUCCUUGCAAUAAGGCAUCCACAGGCUCUAUCAUGCCAACACUACUCUCCAUUGACAACUCCUCACUCACAUCUAUCACUAAUUCUCUUGAGCAGCCUAAAGCCCAACUCUUGACACUAGCAAUCGGAACACCAACAAUUUUCAAAUUUGUGAGAUGAGCUGCCUUAGCGAGGCAGCCAAUUACCAUCGGCAGAUUCUUUAGGCUGCUUAAUCCCUUCAAUUCGAGACACUCGAUUGUUGGCGCCCAUGACUCUAGCAUUUGACGUGGCAAAACCAUCAACCCUUGGCACCUUUCAAUCACGAGUUCGCGUAGGAUUCCUUGUGAUUGUCCUUCUCUGCCAUUUGGAUUCCCUAUUGACUUCAGAUUUGGACAAUCAUGUAUAACCAACUUCUCCAGAGAAUUGAGGGUGUCCAGUCCAUCUGGUAAUUCUCUCAACAUGGGGCAUUGCCUUAUCUCCAACUUUGAGAGAUUCAGAUUCUUAUAAAACAACCAAUCUGGCAGACAUUCCAAUCCCUCUAAGCAUUCUAUAUUGAGGGACAUUAAUUUAGAAAAUGAAGAAUUUAUGAACCUCACCUUCUUCAAUGAAUCCAAAGAAAGAAAUUUGAGAUUUGGCAAGUGCUCCAGCUGUGGGAUUUCCUCACAUUCUGGGCAGAAGGAGAGUGUUAUCUGAAUCAAGUUUUCAAGUGGUAGCCAAGAGGCUUGAGGCCCAUCCCGUACUGCCAUCUUCUCAAUCCAUUCUGGAAAUCUUUUGCCUUUGAAUCCAUAAAUCUCUAACUUCUUCAGAUUGGCAUUUGCAUGAGGCUGGAGGCCUUCCAACACACUCUCCUCAUCACUUCUUUCACCUUCUCUGACAGAACCACAUUGAAACAUCAAAUCAAAUAACUUCGGCAUCCCAAAAUAACCCCAUUGAAACCUCAAAUCAAAUAAGUUUGGCUUCUCAAAUAUCUUUGCUUUCUCUGCUUCUUCUUUGUCAUGCACCUUUUCCAAACUACUAAUCACUAGUUUUCCUUUGAGAUUCUUCAAACUUCCAAGCUCUUCAAUUCGAUGGCCCUUCUUGUCACCAACUCUAAAGUGCCUUAGUGUUUGGAGACAAGUUAAUCUCCCAAUCUCCGCUGGCAAAUCUAUACUGUCGUUGAUAUAGAGAUGCCUUAAGUUAAUCAAGUACUUUAACGUACUUGGCAGAAGAAUCGAUCUAUUCCACCUCAACCUUCUCUCGGCUCUCUCGGCUCUUAAUGUUUGCAAAUGAUGGAAUUCACUAAUCCAGUCUGGCAAAUUCUCAAUUUCUGUAUUUGAAAUAUCAAGAUUUCUCAAAUGUAUCAACUUCCUUACUGAAUUGGGCAACUCUUUAACCCCAUCACUCUUAAGAGUAAGAACAUGCAGACUUUCCAAGUUGGAC